UACGGAGGGGGCUAGCGUUGUUCGGAAUUACUGGGCGUAAAGCGCACGUAGGCGGCUUUGUAAGUUAGAGGUGAAAGCCCGGGGCUCAACCCCGGAACAGCCUUUAAGACUGCAUCGCUUGAACGUCGGAGAGGUGAGUGGAAUUCCGAGUGUAGAGGUGAAAUUCGUAGAUAUUCGGAGGAACACCAGUGGCGAAGGCGGCUCACUGGCUCGGUACUGACGCUGAGGUGCGAAAGCGUGGGGAGCAAACAGG
rnacentral:rRNA from 1 species